rnacentral:rRNA from 1 species
GCAGCCGCCGCGGUAAUACGAAGGGUGCAAGCGUUAAUCGGAAUUACUGGGCGUAAAGCGUGCGUAGGUGGUGGUUUAAGUCCGUUGUGAAAGCCCUGGGCUCAACCUGGGAAUUGCGGUGGAUACUGGGUCACUAGAGUGUGGUAGAGGAUAGUGGAAUUUCCGGUGUAGCAGUGAAAUGCGUAGAGAUCGGAAGGAACAUCUGUGGCGAAGGCGACUAUCUGGGCCAACACUGACACUGAGGCACGAAAGCGUGGGGAGCAAACAGGAUUAGAUACCCCCGUAGUCCCUGUCUCUUAUACACA